rnacentral:rRNA from 1 species
GAUCCUGGCUCAGGAUGAACGCUGGCGGCGUGCUUAACACAUGCAAGUCGAACGGAGUUCCUUGGAUAGAGGUUUCGGGCCAAUUGAAUUGGAACUUAGUGGCGACGGGUGAGUAACGCGUGAGUAACCUGCCUUGGAGUGGGGAAUAACACAGAGAAAUUUGUGCUAAUACCGCAUGAUGCAGUUGGGUCGCAUGGCCCUGACUGCCAAAGAUUUAUCGCUCUGAGAUGGACUCGCGUCUGAUUAGCUAGUUGGCGGGGUAACGGCCCACCAAGGCGACGAUCAGUAGCCGGACUGAGAGGUUGGCCGGCCACAUUGGGACUGAGACACGGCCCAGACUCCUACGGGAGGCAGCAGUGGGGAAUAUUGGGCAAUGGGCGCAAGCCUGACCCAGCAACGCCGCGUGAAGGAAGAAGGCUUCGGGUUGUAAACUGCUUUAGACAGGGAAGAAACAAGACAGUACCUGUAGAAUAAGCUCCGGCUAACUACGUG